rnacentral:rRNA from 1 species
AUUGAACGCUGGCGGCAUGCCUUACACAUGCAAGUCGAACGGCGGCACGGGUGCUUGCACCUGGUGGCGAGUGGCGAACGGGUGAGUAAUACAUCGGAACAUGUCCUGUAGUGGGGGAUAGCCCGGCGAAAGCCGGAUUGAUACCGCAUACGAUCUACGGAUGAAAGCGGGGGACCUUCGGGCCUCGCGCUAUAGGGUUGGCCGAUGGCUGAUUAGCUAGUUGGUGGGGUAAAGGCCUACCAAGGCGACGAUCAGUAGCUGGUCUGAGAGGACGACCAGCCACACUGGGACUGAGACACGGCCCAGACUCCUACGGGAGGCAGCAGUGGGGAAUUUUGGACAAUGGGCGAAAGCCUGAUCCAGCAAUGCCGCGUGUGUGAAGAAGGCCUUCGGGUUGUAAAGCACUUUUGUCCGGAAAGAAAUCCUUGGCCCUAAUACGGUCGGGGGAUGACGGUACCGGAAGAAUAAGCACCGGCUAACUACGUG